AGUUUGUGCAGUAACGGAGUUGGCGAUCAAUUCUAUUCCGAGAAUACCGGUCAGUUUCAACACGUAGUUUAUGGGAUGACAGUCUUAACCUUGACAGAGCAAUUCGAUGUUUGACAGGCAAUAAAUUAAGCAAAUCUAAACUAUUCUGAAGGUCUUCUGGUGUUUUACCAAAGAUGACCAUAUCAUCUGCGAACAACAUCAGUAUAAAGGUGAAAGUACCAGUUUGAUCACCAGGCAGACGCCCAUUUGCAAUUCUCAUAGAUGUGGAUUUACAGAGAUCUAGGAGUCUUAAACCAUUUGCAUUUGUGUGAGAGUCCAUUGACAUUCUAGGAAGUGGAUUAUCAGUUUUGCCCUAGUCAAGCCAUGUAUGUUCCACGAAAGGAUACGAAGAUCCACCCCCGCAGAACCUCAGUGUCUUCUGCCACGAUUAUUGCCGCCACGAUUUCCACGACCACCGCGUGCGUCUCCUCGACCAGAACGAGCACCGUUUCCACGACCACGUCCGCCAGCAGGUGUACUGGGAUUCCCAACUUCAGGGUCACGUGAGGCAUGUCUAGCCUGGGAUAUAGGAGCCUGAGCAUUAUGAGGCUGGGCAACCCCAUCAAUAUACAGAGUGUCAUAACUGAGCCAAGCUCUACUGCCAUUGCUUAUUGCCUCCUUGAGCUUUGGGAUCAAAGCCCUACGUCGUUCAUUUACUGCCUUCGGGAAUUGCUCGUGCUCAUAAUAGGACGAACCUUUAAGAUUUCUACUGGCAUUGCGAACACGCUCUCUGUCCUUGAAAGACGUAAAUUUGACAAUAAUGUUACGGGGCUUGCGUGCUGGACCAUAGGGACGGGGACUUUCGUCGGUAGAAUCGUCGUCGUAUGUGAAAUCAGCGCUAUUGCAACCAUCAGGCGGAUAUGUAGAACGAUGUGCGCGUUCAAUAUGUAUUUGAUCUACCACACUUUGUUGGAUACCCAUGUCUUUGACCAUAAAAUCACGCACCUUGUUUUCUGUUACGGAUUGUUUUUCAUUCAUAGCCUCUGGGACAUUACCUAUUAUAAGAUUAUUGCGCAUUGACUGUGCACGCAUAUAGUCCAUUUCACUGUUAUAUUUUUCUUGAACUUCGCUCAACCUGGUUAUACAGUCAUUGGCCUGCCCUAAGGCAAAUUGAAGUUCAUCGACUUUAUCCAUACACGUAUCUACUUUUUCAUCGUUACUGACAAUAUUAUCUUGAACAUAUAUCCAUAAUUUCUUUACAUCUGAGUCAAUACUAGAAACCUUUGAUUCCAGCGAAUCCAACUUGGUUAAUUUGCUCUCUACAUUAUCUAGCCUUUUGUCAAUCCUUUUCAAAUAUUGCAAAAUUUCAUGUGAUUCAUUAAAACUACUGGA